rnacentral:rRNA from 1 species
GAUGAACGCUGGCGGCGUGCUUAACACAUGCAAGUCGAACGGUGAACGAGGGAGCUUGCUCCCUCCGGAUCAGUGGCGAACGGGUGAGUAACACGUGAGCAAUCUGCCCUGGACUCUGGGAUAAGCGUUGGAAACGACGUCUAAUACCGGAUACGAGACGCGAAGGCAUCUUCAGCGUCUGGAAAGAACUUCGGUACAGGAUGAGCUCGCGGCCUAGCAGGUAGUUGGUGAGGUAACGGCUCACCAAGCCUACGACGGGUAGCCGGCCUGAGAGGGUGACCGGCCACACUGGGACUGAGACACGGCCCAGACUCCUACGGGAGGCAGCAGUGGGGAAUAUUGCACAAUGGGCGCCAGCCUGAUGCAGCGACGCGGCGUGAGGGACGACGGCCUUCGGGUUGUAAACCUCUUUUAGCAGGGAAGAAGCGAAAGUGACGGUACCUGCAGAAAAAGCACCGGCUAACUACGUGCCAGCCGCCGCUGUAAUAC